rnacentral:lncRNA from 1 species
AGGAACAGAAAUAGUUAAGGCCUGGAAUAGAGUCAACAUGUGCCUCUGUAAAGUUGAGGUAGGUCAGGAAGUGUGUCACCGGGGGAACAUAAAGCAACCCCCGCCCCUGCCCUGGCUCACAGGCCUCACCAGUGGAGCUGCGAGAGGUCUUUCCAGAGCUUGCUGAGAGGCCUGAGUGGAGAUGAAGACCCUGUGAGCCAGAAGUGUGGGAGAGAACAGCCUCCUCGCACAGGCUUCUGUCCUCCAAGGGGAGCUGUGCUCUUCUCAGCCUGCUGGCAGUUGCCUGUGGCACUGAGGCACUGAGGGAGGGAAGGCAGAGACCACCCAGUGUGAAUUGCUGCUGCCUGAAAUGGAAACUGUUCUCCCAGCCAUAGGCAGGCAGAGCCAGGAGGGGCUAUUCCACA